rnacentral:rRNA from 1 species
UACGGAGGAUCCGAGCGUUAUCCGGAUUUAUUGGGUUUAAAGGGAGCGUAGGUGGAUUGUUAAGUCAGUUGUGAAAGUUUGCGGCUCAACCGUAAAAUUGCCGUUGAAACUGGAAGACUUGAGUGUGUUUGAGGUAGGCGGAAUGCGUGGUGUAGCGGUGAAAUGCUUAGAUAUCACGAAGAACUCCGAUUGCGAAGGCAGCCUGCUGGACUGUAACUGACGCUGAUGCUCGAAAGUGUGGGUAUCAAACAGG